AGAAUCAACGCUGGCGGCGUGCCUAACACAUGCAAGUCGAACGAGAAAGUGGAGCAAUCCAUGAGUAAAGUGGCGCACGGGUGAGUAACACGUGACUAACCUACCCUUGAGUGGGGGAUAACCUAGGGAAACCUGGGCUAAUACCGCAUAAUACCUUCGGGUCAAAGGAGCAAUUCGCUUAAGGAGGGGGUCGCGGCCGAUUAGUUAGUUGGCGGGGUAAUGGCCCACCAAGGCGACGAUCGGUAGCUGGUCUGAGAGGACGACCAGCCACACUGGAACUGAGACACGGUCCAGACUCCUACGGGAGGCAGCAGUGGGGAAUAUUGCGCAAUGGGCGAAAGCCUGACGCAGCGACGCCGCGUGAGGGAUGAAGGCCUUCGGGUUGUAAACCUCUUUCAGCAGGGACGAAGCGAAAGUGACGGUACCUGCAGAAGAAGCACCGGCCAACUACGUGCCAGCAGCCGC
rnacentral:rRNA from 1 species